AUUCCCUUGAACUUUGAUCUGCAAGUCUUCUUAUUACAUAUGUUGCUUUGAACUUGAUGGAUGGGCAUGGUCAACCAGCAUUGCUUUAUAUCGUCCCGUUUACUCUUGGCACAUUUUUGUCAUUGGGAAAGAAGAGAGGUGAACUCAAU